rnacentral:rRNA from 1 species
UGCAGUCGAACGAACCUUCGGGUUAGUGGCGGACGGGUGAGUAACGCGUGAGAAUCUGCCCUCAGGAGGGGGAUAACAGCUGGAAACGGCUGCUAAUACCCCAUAUGCCGCGAGGUGAAAUGAAUUUCGCCUGAGGAUGAGCUCGCGUCUGAUUAGCUAGUUGGUGUAGGUAAUGGCUCACCAAGGCAUCGAUCAGUAGCUGGUCUGAGAGGAUGAUCAGCCACACUGGGACUGAGACGCGGCCCAGACUCCUACGGGAGGCAGCAGUGGGGAAUUUUCCGCAAUGGGCGAAAGCCUGACGGAGCAACGCCGCGUGAGGGAUGAAGGCCUCUGGGCUGUAAACCUCUUUUAUCAAGGAAGAAGAUCUGACGGUACUUGAUGAAUAAGCCACGGCUAAUUCCGUGCCAGCAGCCGCGGUAAUACGGGAGUGGCAAGCGUUAUCCGGAAUUAUUGGGCGUAAAGCGUCCGCAGGCGGCCCUUCAAGUCUGCUGUUAAAAAGUGGAGCUUAACUCCAUCAUGGCAGUGGAAACUGAGGGGCUUGAGUGUGGUAGGGGCAGAGGGAAUUCCCGGUGUAGCGGUGAAAUGCGUAGAUAUCGGGAAGAACACCAGUGGCGAAGGCGCUCUGCUGGGCCAUCACUGACGCUCAUGGACGAAAGCCAGGGGAGCGAAAGGGAUUAGAUACCCCUGUAGUCCUGGCCGUAAACGAUGAACACUAGGUGUCGGGGGAAUCGACCCCCUCGGUGUCGUAGCCAACGCGUUAAGUGUUCCGCCUGGGGAGUACGCACGCAAGUGUGAAACUCAAAGGAAUUGACGGGGGCCCGCACAAGCGGUGGAGUAUGUGGUUUAAUUCGAUGCAACGCGAAGAACCUUACCAGGGUUUGACAUCCUGCGAAUCUCUUGGAAACGAGAGAGUGCCUUCGGGAACGCAGUGACAGGUGGUGCAUGGCUGUCGUCAGCUCGUGUCGUGAGAUGUUGGGUUAAGUCCCGCAACGAGCGCAACCCACGUCUUUAGUUGCAGCAUUUAGU